UUUUUUAAGUUCUGAGUUUUGUCUGUGUUUUUAGCCUCUGUUGUUGCUACAGUUCCUGUGAUCUGGGGGUCUGUUGGAGCGGACUCAGCAGAUCUGGUCUUGGAGGGAGGGGCUUGGUCUGGGUUUUUACCAGAAUUUGGUGGAGGACCGAGCAGACUGGGUCCCCUCUUCCUCUCACACGACUCCACAGCUCUGCACAGAUCCACAGGUCUCAAUCAUGGACGAUUUGGACUUUGAGCGGCGCCGGGAGCUGAGGAGGCAGAAGCGGGAGGAGAUGCGCCUGGAGGCUGAACGGAUGAUGAGGAACGAUGAUGACGAGGAGGAGGCUGCCCGCGAGAGGAGGCGCAGGGCGCGCCAGGAGAGGCUGAGGAGCAGGGAGGGCGAGGAGCCCAGCAGCCAGCCGGAGAGCAAGGUCGUCACCAACAGCCACAGCGUGACCGAGUCCGUGUCCGUGAGCAGCUCCUACGGAGGUGGCGGAGACGACGAGGACCAGGCCCUGCUGGACCGCAUGGCCAAGCGGGAGGAGAGGCGGCAGAGACGCAUGAAGGAGGCGCUGGAGAAGCAGAGGCAGCUGGACCCCACCGCCACGGAGGGCACCGAGAGAAACGACACAGAGGAGGAGAGGCCCUCCUGGCGUCGUCACCGCGACGAGGAGGAGAAGGUGGUGACGAACAGCGUGAAGCCAGACGAGCCCAAAGAGGAGGAGGAGGAGGAGGCUGCUCCGGAGAGAGGAGGGGAGGAGGAGGAGCAGAAAGUCGAAGUUGAGGAAAUCGAACCGAGAAGGUCUAACCUGAGAGAGCAGGCCGAAACCGAGGAGCCUAAAACACAACAGAAGGGACUCGCUGAAGGAGAAACGGUAGUCAGUGAGGGUUCAAAUCAGGCCCAGUCAGCAAAUUCAGAGGCUGAGGAGGACGCAGUAGCAUCAGGGGAGGAUGAAGAGGUACCUGAGGAUGAUAAUGUAGAGCCUGGGUCACUCAGACGUGGCUCUGAGGAAGAGUUUGAGGUAUCUGAGGAUAAUGAGGUGAACGAGAGAGGCGGGUUCCAGGAGGACAGGGAGGAUCAGUGGAAGCACAACGGAGGGCUGCACGAGGAGGCGGCUCCCAAACAGCACAGGAAGCCUGAGAGGACCCCCAGCCGCGGCAGCGUGCGCUCGGCCGAGGCCAGCGACGAGCAGGACGAGGACGCCCGCCUGGAGGCGGAGCGCAAGCUGGAGGAGCUGAAGCGCCGCCGCGACGACGCCGAGAGCGAGGAGUUCGAGAGGAUGAGGCAGAAGCAGCAGGAGGCCGAGGCCGAGCUGGAGGAGCUGAGGAAGAAGAGGGAGGAGAGGAGGAAGGUGCUGGAGGAGGAGGAGAGGCAGCGCAAGCAGGAGGAGGAGGGAAAGAAAGCCAGAGAGGAGGAGGAGAAAAGGAAGAUGAAGGAGGAGAUUGAAAAACGAAGAGCAGAAGCUGCUGAGAAGAGGCAGAAGGCCGACGACGCUCCGGACGGGGAGGGCAAACCGUUCAAAUGCGUCAGCCCUCGUGGCUCUUCUCUGAAGAUCGGAGAGAGAGCAGAGUUUCUGAACAAGUCGGCUCAGAAAAGCACGAUGAAGGCGUCUCAUUCUCCUGUGGUGUCCAAGAUAGACAACAGGCUGGAGCAGUACACCUCAGCUGCUCAGAGAGAAAACAAGGAGUCCCGGCCUCCUCGCUCCGCGGCUUCAGACCUCCCUCUGGUCACCGACGUGCGGAACAUCAAGAGCAUGUGGGAGAAGGGCGACGUGUUCGGCUCACCUGGGAGCGGCGGCAGCGUGUUUAAGGAAGCAGCUGUGAUAAAGACGGGCGUGGCGGGCCGCAUCAACGACUGGCUGAGCAAAACCCCAGAGAGUGGCAAGACGUCAGGAGGAAGGCCAACGGACCUGAAACCRGUCGAUGUCACCAACAAGAGGAGUCUAUGGGAAAACAAAGGCGCCUCUCCAACAAAGAACUCUCAUAGCUAGUUGACCUCAGCGUUCAGUCUGGAAUAAUCCCGCAGAGAUGGCGGGCAGAGGCGAGACCAAAUCAGUCGCCAACGGCAUGGGGCACUAAAGGAGCCGCCGACAGCUGGGGGACCACGACAAUCCAAGACUCUUCCUUUGACUUUUUAUUUGUUUGAUUAUUAUUAUUUUUCACAAGAACCAAAUAAUGAUCCCAGAAGGGGAACACACGAACACAGACACACACAGACCACGGAGGGACACAAGUCCUCGCACUGUAACUGAAACACCAUCAGCAGAUUAUCGUAGGGUUGCCAAGUAUAAUGCUUUUGCACAAAAAGUUCUUAUGUGUUUAAAAAAAAUGCUGUGAAAUCGGAUCAUUUGGACCCACUCUUUACUACUCUGGAUAAUAUUUAAACAGUUUUUUAUUGCCGGCCCUCAUCGGCUUGAUCAGCAGUGUUUGUUACAAAAAAGUGGAGGAAAAUAACGUUUUAGCUUUUCGAAAGUUUUUUUUUUUAGAUAUACGUCGACAAAACCCUAAAAAACAAAGGCUGCAUCUGAGUAUGUAGA